rnacentral:pre_miRNA from 1 species
UCAAUUUGACACUAUUAACUUUUGAGUCUAUGUUUACCGUUCGUCUUAUCCAAAAAAUAUAUAUAAUUAUUAUUUAUUUUUUUGUGAUUUGAUUUAUUACUAAAGGAAUUUUAAGCAUGACUUAUAAUUUUGCAUAUUUACACAAAAUUUUUGAAUAAGACGAACGUUCAAAUGUAGAUCCAAAAGUUAACGGCACAAACUAAA